GGCCGGCCUGCCUCUGGCCGCCUCGCGGGCUCCUCGCUCGGCCCCAGCCCUGGGGCGUGGUGCCAGGCGGGCGGCCGGGGGCGCGGGCCCCGGGGGUGAAGGCUUGGGAGGGAGCCGGUGGCCGGGCGUGUGGCGGCGGGGGAAGUGGAGGCCGGCAGGGGUGGGGAUCGGGGAAGCGCAGGAGCGGCCCCACCAGCCGCGGACCGGAGGAGGAGGCAAACUUGAGAAAGAGAGAGCUAAGGGGCGGGGUCUUUCAUGAGGCACCUCAGUUCCUGCACCUGGACCAGUGAGCGAGAUGCUCAGAUAUGAUACCUGCCGCCUGCCAGGAUCUGGCCGAGACUGUGGACAAAGCUGAUGGACACUGGAAAAUUGAUGUCAGCCCCUUUGCCUAGACAAAACAAGGUUUCUGCUUCUGGCAGACAUCUGAGUAUCAGUUGUGACAACAGGCUGUUCUAAGUAGACUUCGAGCACUGGACUUGCUGUGGAUGUGAACCAGCUGACGUGGACACCCCCUGUCUCUGCAACAGAGUCUGCCAACAGCCCCUGAUGGAUUCCCCAUUGCCUAAAUUCCUGUCUUUUUUUUUUUUUUUUUUUUUUUUUUUUUUUUGACUAGCAUUUCAACCUUCUGGGGUCCUUAACUUCGUCCUAAAGUCAGCAGGAAGUAGCAUGGGAAAGAAUUUGCCGCCCUUUUUCCCUGGUUAAAAUGCUAAGUCAGAAGGAACUCCCUUGCAUGGGGAUGCCAAUAUCUCUCACUCCCUGAUAGGGGCACUAGAGAGACAGCAAUUCCAUGAUUGGAAUUUCCAAAAAAGAAAAUGGGGGAAUGAAGGGACCAGCUCCCCGUUUUGGCAGCCAUAACAGCCAGACACGUGCUUUUCUGACCUUGCCUUAGUCACUAGAGGUUAGAUGCCUGCCUCGUGACAAGGAACCAAUCACAAGUUAGCUGGUGGCACUAUGCUUUGUGACUCUGGGUGUACUUUUACUGACAAGCUCACAGCAAUGAUGCUCAGAGCAUAGCAACCACCCUGGGAGGGCCUAUGGGCCAUAACAACCAGUUGGCCAAUCAACACAGGCCAAGCCCUCCAAGCCUGGAGGCACACCAAUCCUGAGCCUGUGGGUACCCCUAGACACUCCCCUUACGCUGCCCUGUAAGAUCUCUAUGUAGAUGCUUCCCAGUGUCUUUGCUAGCCAUUCGCCAUGGCGGGUGGGUAAAAGAUCCGAGCUAACAUGGGAUUAGCUCGUUAAAAAAACAAUAAAGCCUCAUGCAGUUUGCAUCAAGCUCUCGAAUCUGCUUGGUGAUUUGGGGUGACCGAGGUUGUGGCCUGAGACCCCGGAGGCCUGAGUUUUCCAGGGAUCUAACACAUGUUCCUAUUGUUUAAAAUAUUAUAUAGUCAUACAAUAUAUUCUAAACUACUGAAGGAAAUCAUAAGAACAACUUUGGUAAAAAUUUUUAUGUUGUCUAGAAAGGGAGAGAAAAGGUAAACCAAAAUAAGAAAGAGAGGGAAAGGGUAAGAAAAAGUUGGCUGAAGUAAAAUGUCUGAGGAAUCAGAGGAAUGGACUGAAGGUAUAUAGAAAGUUGUAAAAGGCCAGAGGGGAUGUGAACUAUGUUUGCUGUGGUUUCUCAUACCUGCAAAUACUGAAUUAAUAAUAAAAAAGUAAAAUAAAUAAAAAAUUUGACUAUAUUAGGUUAAUUCUGUUUGAAAACCUUUAUUUUGUUAAAAAGUUUUGUUUAUCUUUCGAGAAAGUUGUGUAUGCUUGUUUUUUUGAAAAGUUAUGUCUGUGUUUUCUGGUGUGAUCGUAAGUUUUGUUGCAAGCAUAGAGCUGAAACAGAAAUGGUUUGAAGAUUUUUGCUGUCUAAUGCGGACAACAACCAGUCACUUAUGAACAUAGUCGGAAUUUAUCUCUGAG
ensembl:lncRNA